GAACGCCGUAUGCGGUGAAAGUCGCACGUACGGUGUGAAUGGGGGGAAAACAAGUAGUCUGAAUGCCGUAAACGGUAAAAGAUGAACGUUACCUAUCCAUAU
rnacentral:ncRNA from 1 species